rnacentral:misc_RNA from 1 species
GAUGAAGAACGUAGCGAAAUGCGAUAAGUAGUGUGAAUUGCAGAAUUCAGUGAAUCAUCGAAUCUUUGAGCGCACAUUGCGCCCCCUGGUAUUCCAUGGGGCAUGCCUGUUCGAGCGUCAUUUACACCCUCAAGCUCUGCUUGGUGUUGGGCGUCUGUCCCGCUGCUUUGCGCGGACUCGCCUCAAAGGUAUUGGCAGCGAUCAUGCCAGCUUCUCGCGCAGCACAUUGCGCUUCUUGAAGUUCUGGUGGAUCAGCGUCCAUUAAGCUUACCUUCAUGACUUGACCUCGGAUCAGGUAGGGAUACCCGCUGAACUUAAGCAUAUCAAUAAGCGGAGGA